UCCUCGGUAGCUCAGCGGUAGAGCUAACGGCUGUUAACCGUUCGGUCGCUGGUUCGAUUCCAGCCCGGGGAGCCA
rnacentral:tRNA from 1 species